rnacentral:rRNA from 1 species
UACCAGCACCCCGAGUGGUCGGGACGAUUAUUGGGCCUAAAGCAUCCGUAGCCGGCCUUACAAGUCCUCCGUUAAAUCCAGCUGCUUAACAGAUGGGCUGCGGAGGAUACUAUAAGACUAGGAGGCAGGAGAGGCAAGCGGUACUCAGUGGGUAGGGGUAAAAUCCGUUGAUCCAUUGAAGACCACCAGUGGCGAAGGCGGCCGACUGGUCCGGUUCUGACGCUGAGGCGCGAAAGCGUGGGGAGCAAACAGG